rnacentral:tRNA from 1 species
CAAGAUGUAGCUACAACAGCAAAGCAUUCAGCUUACACCUGAAAGAUAUCUGUCAUCAACCAGAUCAUCUUGA